GCUCAUGUCCUUCAUUUUAUGUUAUGACAAAAAAGAUUUUAAGAAAAAAAAAUAAAAGGUAAAUUUGAACAAAUAUUCCGACUCAUGCCCUUCAUUUUAUGUUAUAUCAUUUCUUUUUUUUUUGGUAAUCAAUUGAAAAAGAAGAACAAAUAACAUACAUAAUCAGAAUCAAAUCUAUAGAGAUAUAAUCUGUAUCUAGGCUUUAUCAUCAACGGAGCUUCUCUCUGGGAACCCUUAACAUUGCCAGAGAGUAACUAUCUGUUUGAACGCGCUCGCGACAGCCUUGAUAACAAUGCUGAGUUUCCCUUAUCCCGAGGACUGGCUAUCCAACAGUUUGCUACCGGGCUCUACCGGAUGACAUCAAUGCGUGUACACGACAAUAAUGAAUACAUUCCUCUCUAUAUUGGUGUGUAUGGAUCUGGUCGUACAACCCUCUCAUUCUUUGUGGUAAAUAUACUGAAACAUUCGAAACAUUCUCUCUUAAUUUUUAGCAUAAAUGCAAUUGACUCUCUUUUUCUCUUUCUCCUUCUUAGACGGCGAUUAUAAGGUUUACGACUGGAGCGGUGAUAUUUUUGUUUGCACAUUUCUCAAUUGCCUUCUAAAAACUAUUUAUUUUUGAUUUUCUUUUAAUCUGAAAACCAAAAAAAAUACAUCUAUACUAUUAAUCCUUUUAAGAGCCAUUUAGAAAAACCUAUUCCGGCUCAUGCCCUUCAUUUUAUGUUACGACAAAAUAGAUUGUAAGAAAAAAAAAAAAGAUAAAUUUGAACAAAUAUUCCAACUCAUGCGCUUCAUUUUAUGUUAUAUCAUUUCUUUUUUUUUGGUAAUCAUUUGAGAAAGAAGAACAAAUAACAUACAUAACCAGAAUCAAAUCUACAAAGUAAACAAAAUAUAUAACCUUUCUCUUUUUGUUGUAAUCCACCAAAAAAAAAGAACAAAUUAUGUACGCAAUCAGAAUCUAUAUAAACAAGAAUUAAUCUAAAAACCCAUCGAUAUUUCAUAAAUAAACAAUUUGACUUCUCAUUUUUUUGAGAAAGAAAAGCUGGAAUCUAAAAUAUAAAAUAGAAAAUCUAAACGUAAUCAGCCAGGAUUUAUCUAAGGAGUAAGAAUUCAAGAAAUAAGAUUAAGAAUUUACCAUGUUCUUCGUGGAGGUUCUGCAGAUUUUAGACAACUUUUCUCUUCAAAAGUUGUGUGUUUGUAGCCGAGAAAUAUUCAGAAAAACACUUAGUCUAUGCACAAGUCCAAAGUGAUAAGGACGAUCAUCCACCAUUGUUGAC
rnacentral:lncRNA from 1 species